GACGAACGCUGGCGGCGUGCUUAACACAUGCAAGUAGAACGGAAAGGCCCUGCUUUUGUGGGGUGCUCGAUUGGCGAACGGGUGAGUAACACGUGGGUACCCUUCCCUUGACUUUGGGAUAACUUCAGGAAACUGGGGCUAAUACUGGAUAGGAGCUCCUGCUGUUAGGUGGGGGUUGGAAAGUUUCGGCGGUUGGGGAUGGACUCGCGGCUUAUGAGCCUGUUGGUGGGGUAGUGUGUUAGCAAGGCUUUGACGGGUAGCCGGCCUGAGAGGGUGACGGGCCACAUAGGGCCUGAGAUAGGGCCCAGACUCCUACUGGAGCCAGCAGUGGGGAAUAUUCCACGAUGGGCGGAAGCCGUAUGCAGCAACGCCGCGUGCGGGAUGACGGCCUUCGGGUUGUAACCCGCUUUCGCCUGUGACGAAGCGUGAGUGACGGUAAUGUGUAAAGAAGCACCGGCUAACUACGUG
rnacentral:rRNA from 1 species